rnacentral:rRNA from 1 species
GCUACUGGAUGGUCGAGGGGCCCUACAAGGUUACCAACAUCAGCCAAACUCCGAAUGCCGGUAAGUGAGAACGUAGCAGUGAGACAGUGGGGGAUAAUCUUCAUUGUCGAGAGGGAAACAACCCAGAGUAGCAACUAAGGUCCCAAAGCGUGUGCUAAGUGGAAAAGGAUGUGAAGUCGCAUAGACAACCAGGAGGUUGGCUUAGAAGCAGCCACCCUUAAAAAAGUGCGUAAUAGCUUACUGGUCAAGUGAUUUCGCGCCGACAAUGUAACGGGGCUCAAGCACACCACCGAAGUUCUAUCAUUCACACACUAUCCCGGUCGUAAGAUCCAGGAGUGUGGAUGGGUAGGAGAGCGUCGUGUAGCUGGUGAAGCGGCGGAGGAAUCCAGCCGUGGAAGCUACACGAGUGAGAAUGUAGACAUGAGUAGCGAGAGUUGGGUGAGAAACCCAACCGCCGAAAGACCAAGGGUUCCUGGGCCAGGCUAAUCCGCCCAGGGUAAGUCGGGACCUAAGACGAGGCCGUCAGGCGUAGUCGAUGGACAACGGGUUGAUAUUCCCGUACCCGCGUAAGUUCGCCCAUGACGAACCUUCUAAUGCUAAGUCUUCGAAGCUGUAUUGGCGUAAGUCGAUAUGGUGGAGGGGACGACCCGGUGAAGUAGUAGUUAAGCAAUGGUGUGACACAGGAAGGCAGUCCAACCCGGGCGAUGGUUGUCCCGGGGUAAGAGUGUAGGGAGUUAUGUAGGAAAAUCCGCAUAACGUUUAACUGAGACUCGAUGCCGAGCCGAAUGGCGAAGUGGAUGAUCCUAUGCUGUCAAGAAAAGCAUCUAGCGAGAACUUAAGUGGCCCGUACCCGAAACCGACACAGGUGGUCAGGUAGAGAAUACCAAGGCGAUCGAGAGAAUCGUGGAUAAGGAACUCGGCAAAAUACCCCCGUAACUUCGGGAGAAGGGGGGCCAAUUUACGUGUAGGAGUUUUCCUCCGAAGCGUGAGUCGGCCGCAGAGACUAGGCUCAAGCGACUGUUUACCAAAAACACAGGUCCGUGCGAAGUUGCAAAACGAUGUAUACGGACUGACGCCUGCCCGGUGCUGGAAGGUUAAGGGGACUGGUUAGCCGCAAGGCGAAGCUGAGAACUUAAGCCCCAGUAAACGGCGGUGGUAACUAUAACCAUCCUAAGGUAGCGAAAUUCCUUGUCGGGUAAGUUCCGACCUGCACGAAUGGCGUAACGACUUGAGCGCUGUCUCAUCCGCGAACUCGGCGAAAUUGCAGUACGAGUAAAGAUGCUCGUUUAGCGCAGAAAGACGGAAAGACCCCGGGACCUUUACUAUACCUUGACAUUGGUACUCGGAACGGUUUGUGUAGCAUAGGUGGGAGACUUUGAAGCUGGGACGCCAGUCCUGGUGGAGUCAUCGUUGAAAUACCACUCUGAUCGUUUUGAGUUUCUAACCUCGGUCCGUGAUCCGGAUCAGGGACAGUGUCUGGCGGGUAGUUUGACUGGGGCGGUCGCCUCCCAAAAAGUAACGGAGGCGCUCAAAGGUUCCCUCAGCCUGGUUGGCAAUCAGGUGUUGAGUGUAAGUGCACAAGGGAGCUUAACUGUGAGACAGACAUGUCGAGCAGGUACGAAAGUAGGAACUAGUGAUCCGGCGGUGGCUUGUGGAAGCGCCGUCGCUCAACGGAUAAAAGGUACCCCGGGGAUAACAGGCUGAUCUUGCCCAAGAGUCCAUAUCGACGGCAAGGUUUGGCACCUCGAUGUC